rnacentral:misc_RNA from 1 species
GGUUUGUCCAGAUCUUCCUCUUCCAACUCCGAUUAUAUAAAAAUUACAGUCUCGAAUCCCCAGAAGGAGCAAGAGGUUUCGAACUCGAUUGUGCCCGGUGGGAAUUCCUACGUCACUUAUCUGAUCACUACGAGGACAAACAUAGCGGAGUUUGGAGGAUCAGAAUUUAGCGUUCGAAGGAGGUUCAAGGAUGUGGUGACGCUAU